AGUCGAACGAGGACGGGAGCUUGCUCCCGAUCCGAGUGGCGGACGGGUGAGUAACACGUGACCAACCUGUCCCAGGGUGAGGGACAACCUGGGGAAACCCGGGCUAAUACCGCAUGAUGUCUCGUGGUCGCAUGACUGUGAGAUCAAAGAGAGCCUCUGCUUGCAAGCUCCCGCCCAGGGAGGGGGUCGCGGCGUAUCAGCUAGUUGGUAGGGUAAUGGCCUACCAAGGCUACGACGCGUAGCGGGUCUGAGAGGACGACCCGCCUCAUUGGGACUGAGAUACGGCCCAGACUCCUACGGGAGGCAGCAGUGGGGAAUAUUGCGCAAUGGACGAAAGUCUGACGCAGCGACGCCGUGUGUGGGAGGAAGCUCUUCGGGGUGUAAACCACUGUCAGAGGGGAAGAAAGGCGCCGGCCUGAAAGGUCCGGCGAUUGACGGUACCCUCAAAGGAAGCGCCGGCUAACUCCGUGCCAGCAGCCGCGGUAAGACGGAGGGCGCAAGCGUUGUUCGGAAUUACUGGGCGUAAAGCGCGGGCAGGUGGUCUGUUAAGUCGUUUGUGAAAAUCCGGGGCUCAACCCCGCGAAAUGCAUACGAUACUGGCAGACUAGAGACUGGUAGAGGCUAGCGGAAUUCCUGGUGUAGCGGUGGAAUGCGUAGAUAUCAGGAAGAACACCUGUGGCGAAGGCGGCUAGCUGGGCCA
rnacentral:rRNA from 1 species